rnacentral:tRNA from 1 species
UGAUGUGGCUCAGCGGUAGAGCACUUCCUUGGUAAGGAAGGGGUCACGGGUUCAAUUCCCGUCAUCA